CCAGGCUUCUCAGAUCCUAAUGCUGGCGACUUCCCCUCCGUGGCUGUGAGCAGCACAUGCCACCAGGGAUCCCCAAAUCAUGCUGUGAUCUUUCUGCCUCUCCCAUUAUCACCAGCAGUAUAUAUUCUGCAGUGAGAUUUUAGCCGCCGACAGCUCGGGGUGUUUUGCUAAGCAGCCGAGUCUUCAGCUUUGCCCUUCUGGGGUCCUAUCCGAUCCUGCAGGGCUAACAGAAAGACAUUCUUGUUGGUUUUUCUUUUCCCCUUCUGGAAAGCUGGCAGAUGAGACGUGAAAGUGAGGAAGAAGCAAAGAGAUUUGUUCCACAAAGGCAUGUUAUAUCAUUAGGAGAAAUAGUAAGAGAAUGCUGACAAGAGCCUAUACUGGGCUCCGAUCCCAUCUCCACCACCCGUUUACUGUGUGAUGUCAGAGAUCCUGCCAGUUGCUGGACUCCGCGCUGCACACGGCCUAAGGGAGAGAUGGCAUCCCAGACACACUUGACCUAGACUCACAUAGGAGGUGGCCCUUACUAAAGGUGGGGUACGCGUUGAGGUGGGGAGCGGAGAAGCCAUGCACACAGGAAGAAUGCACCCAGGAGUCGGGGCAGCUGGGAGGGAGGCCUGCUCUAGAGGGAGUUACAGUGCUGAAACCUACAUGCAAACAGAGUCCACUGUGCAUCUGAAGAUACACUGAUGGGUGUCAGGACACUAAAGCUUCCCGCCAGCACGUUUCAUCCAGGAGACCAUGGAAGGAAGCCCGGGCUGGAACUGGCAAGGCCUCAGGCGGAGUCUGUCAUCGGGUCUGGAAUCAACAACAGCUGACAUUCCAGGGACCCUCAGGGGGCUGGAGACUUGGAUGGAACGAAAUCCUAGCAACUGGCUCUCGGGAAAAGGCUGUCACCAUCCUCUUUCGUCUUCUCGUUCACUCGAUGUCUCUCCAGGACCUGGGAAGCGUGCCCGUUUGGGUCCCUUAAAACCCAUAUGUCGACACCUCCAGACGUUUCUAAUAAGGUCUUCGAAAGCAGAUGAAGGGUGCAAACAUUUGUCCAGACCAGAGGCUGCAGCACAGAAACGAAGCAUGUCCUGGAAACUCCCAGAAGGCCCUGGCUCGUCUUUUCAACCACAGUAAAGCCAACAGAGGCAGCACCUCUCUAGUAUUAACGUGAUACAACGCCCACUCCUCACACCGGGGGCUUCGAUGGAACGGAUCUAGCACGGGCAAUAGCCUUGCUUAUUUGGAAGGUGUAGCAGCUGUAUUUCGACACGACGCCACACUUUAUAAUUUAAAAAUCUGGUCAAAGUACAGAGACACAUUCUGAUGAGAAACCCGUUGUCUUUCCCUCAUUCCCAGCCCUUGGCCAGGGCAUAAUCUCACUUUCCAGGUUAUUCAUGUGCUCAGCAAGAGAUUGGUACAUAAUCCGAUUCUGGCCAAGUAGAGACUUCUGGUUCCCUGACUUUGUUCAUGGACGAGUUCGUUAGCCAGUCCAAGGCACAGAGAUGCAACAGGACUUCAGUCAGAAAGGCUGGAAUCCUUGUGAGGAUACGGGACGAGCCUGCCAUUCAUGGAUGCCAUCUUGCUGCUACUAGAUGAAGCCAGACUGAGAAUGGACUAGCACAGAAGGCGAGGAAGAAAAGAAAGAAAAGAGAGGGAGAGGAAGAAAAGGGCUGGAGAAUAUGAGACUGAAUCCCCACAGUGUAAUCUGAGACACUGGGUCCUGCCAUACUUGAUUUUUCAUACGUUAUUCUUUUUGUCUAAGUUGAGCAGACUUUCUGUCACUUUCAAAUAAAGAUACUGAAUGACAUACAGGUGGACCCAGAUUUCAUGUAGCCUGACGUUUAUAUAAUUUGGGACGCCCACUUUAAGAAAAGAGGACAACACUAUGAAAAGAAAAUAAGAUGAAAAGUAAUUUUUGUUGAGAACUGGAAAAGAAAUCAUGACAAAUUGUUAAAUUAAA